UAUGGGGGUAGGUGGAAAAGGGUUUUUCUGGUNNNGNAUGGGCUCGCGNCNUAUCAACUUGUUGGNGGNCUGAUGGCNUACCAAGGCUUUGACGGGUAGCCGNCCUGAGAGGGUGACCGGUCACANUGGGACUGAGAUACGGCCCAGACUCCUACGGGAGGCAGCAGUGGGGAAUAUUGCACAAUGGGCGCAAGCCUGAUGCAGCGACGCCGCGUGAGGGAUGGAGGCCUUCGGGUUGUGAACCUCUUUCGCUCAUGGUCAAGCCGCAACAAUGGUUGUGGUGAGGGUAGUGGGUAAAGAAGCGCCGGCUAACUACGUGCCAGCAGCCGCGGUAAUACGUAGGGCGCGAGCGUUGUCCGGAAUUAUUGGGCGUAAAGGGCUUGUAGGCGGUUGGUCGCGUCUGCCGUGAAAUCCUCUGGCUUAACUGGGGGCGUGCGGUGGGUACGGGCUGACUUGAGUGCGGUAGGGGAGACUGGAACUCCUGGUGUAGCGGUGGAAUGCGCAGAUAUCAGGAAGAACACCGGUGGCGAAGGCGGGUCUCUGGGCCGUUACUGACGCUGAGGAGCGAAAGCGUGGGGAGCGAACAGG
rnacentral:rRNA from 1 species